GACGAACCGAGCGAACGUUGUUCGGAAUCACUGGGCUUAAAGGGCGCGUAGGCGGGCCGCCAAGUUCGAGGUGAAAUCCUCCGGCUCAACCGGAGAACUGCCUCGGAUACUGGGCGUCUCGAGUGUGGUAGGGGUAUGCGGAACUAUCGGUGGAGCGGUGAAAUGCGUUGAUAUCGAUAGGAACUCCGGUGGCGAAGGCGGCAUACUGGACCACCACUGACGCUGAUGCGCGAAAGCCAGGGGAGCAAACGGG
rnacentral:rRNA from 1 species